rnacentral:lncRNA from 1 species
UUAUCAUUCUAGGAAGAGAAGUCUCUUGUAGUCUAUCUGUGCUUCUGUGUUUGAAUUCUUCAUGCAAAGUUCUUUUUAUUUAGUUGGUUUUGUUUCCUUGACUGCUUGUAAGCUCCUACGGGUGACAAAUUCAAAGCUGCGCUGAGAUGGGGUGAUAUUAACAUCGUUUCUCAGAAAUGGCUUGAUCAGUCCAUUGCUAGAAGAGGUAAC